GAUGAACGCUGGCGGCGUGCCUAAUACAUGCAAGUCGAGCGAACGGACGAGAAGCUUGCUUCUCUGACGUUAGCGGCGGACGGGUGAGUAACACGUGGAUAACCUACCUAUAAGACUGGGAUAACUUCGGGAAACCGGAGCUAAUACCGGAUGAUAUUUUGAACCGCAUGGUUCAAUAGUGAAAGACGGUGUUGCUGUCACUUAUAGAUGGAUCCGCGCUGCAUUAGCUGGUUGGUAAGGUAACGGCUUACCAAGGCAACGAUGCAUAGCCGACCUGAGGGGGGGAUCGGCCACACUGGAACUGAGACACGGUCCAGACUCCUACGGGACGCAGCAGUAGGGAAUCUUCCGCAAUGGGCGAAAGCCUGACGGAGCAACGCCGCGUGAGUGAUGAAGGUCUUCGGAUCGUAAAACUCUGUUAUUAGGGAAGAACAUAUGUGUAAGUAACUGUGCACAUCUUGACGGUACCUAAUCAGAAAGCCACGGCUAACUACGUG
rnacentral:rRNA from 1 species